GAAGAAUCUAAUAAUACCACCACCUUUACAGUAAAGACGCUGCGAAUUGACGCCUUUUAUAAUAAAGACACUUAUCUUGCCCAAGAGCUGGGGAGCAUUUCCUGAAGACGUAGUCAUGCAGCACGUCAGCAGCUCCCAGAGCAGCCAGCGCCAUGUCCAGUGGCCUGGGGCCUGCCCCGGCGCGGGCGAGGAGCAGCCAGCGUGCUCCCAGCCGUCCCUGCCCCUCACACUGCCAUCCCCCAGCCACCAACUACAGCAGCUGAUGGUCCAGACCCAGAGUCCCACGCAGCCCAGUCCGGGGCCGGGGCAGGCCUUGCAGAAUGUGCGUGCAGGUGCCCCUGGCCCUGGGCUGGGCCUCUGCAGCAGCAGCCCUACAGGGGACUUCGUGGAUGCCAGCGUGCUGGUGAGGCAGAUCAGCUUGAGCCCCUCCAGUGGUGGACACUUUGUGUUUCAGGAUGGGUCAGGGCUCACCCAGAUCGCCCAGGGAGCCCAGGUUCAGCUCCAGCACCCGGGUACGCCCAUCACAGUCCGAGAGCGGAGACCCUCCCAGCCCCACACACAGUCAGGGGGCACCAUCCACCAC
rnacentral:lncRNA from 1 species